AGAGUUUGAUCCUGGCUCAGGAUGAACGCUGGCGGCGUGCCUAAUACAUGCAAGUCGAGCGAACGGACGAGAAGCUUGCUUCUCUGAUGUUAGCGGCGGACGGGUGAGUAACACGUGGAUAACCUACCUAUAAGACUGGGAUAACUUCGGGAAACCGGAGCUAAUACCGGAUAAUAUUUUGAACCGCAUGGUUCAAAAGUGAAAGACGGUCUUGCUGUCACUUAUAGAUGGAUCCGCGCUGCAUUAGCUAGUUGGUAAGGUAACGGCUUACCAAGGCAACGAUGCAUAGCCGACCUGAGAGGGUGAUCGGCCACACUGGAACUGAGACACGGUCCAGACUCCUACGGGAGGCAGCAGUAGGGAAUCUUCCGCAAUGGGCGAAAGCCUGACGGAGCAACGCCGCGUGAGUGAUGAAGGUCUUCGGAUCGUAAAACUCUGUUAUUAGGGAAGAACAUAUGUGUAAGUAACUGUGCACAUCUUGACGGUACCUAAUCAGAAAGCCACGGCUAACUACGUGCCAGCAGCCGCGGUAAUACGUAGGUGGCAAGCGUUAUCCGGAAUUAUUGGGCGUAAAGCGCGCGUAGGCGGUUUUUUAAGUCUGAUGUGAAAGCCCACGGCUCAACCGUGGAGGGUCAUUGGAAACUGGAAAACUUGAGUGCAGAAGAGGAAAGUGGAAUUCCAUGUGUAGCGGUGAAAUGCGCAGAGAUAUGGAGGAACACCAGUGGCGAAGGCGACUUUCUGGUCUGUAACUGACGCUGAUGUGCGAAAGCGUGGGGAUCAAACAGGAUUAGAUACCCUGGUAGUCCACGCCGUAAACGAUGAGUGCUAAGUGUUAGGGGGUUUCCGCCCCUUAGUGCUGCAGCUAACGCAUUAAGCACUCCGCCUGGGGAGUACGACCGCAAGGUUGAAACUCAAAGGAAUUGACGGGGACCCGCACAAGCGGUGGAGCAUGUGGUUUAAUUCGAAGCAACGCGAAGAACCUUACCAAAUCUUGACAUCCUUUGACAACUCUAGAGAUAGAGCNNNNNNNNNNNNNNUUCCCCUUCGGGGGACAAAGUGACAGGUGGUGCAUGGUUGUCGUCAGCUCGUGUCGUGAGAUGUUGGGUUAAGUCCCGCAACGAGCGCAACCCUUAAGCUUAGUUGCCAUCAUUAAGUUGGGCACUCUAAGUUGACUGCCGGUGACAAACCGGAGGAAGGUGGGGAUGACGUCAAAUCAUCAUGCCCCUUAUGAUUUGGGCUACACACGUGCUACAAUGGACAAUACAAAGGGCAGCGAAACCGCGAGGUCAAGCAAAUCCCAUAAAGUUGUUCUCAGUUCGGAUUGUAGUCUGCAACUCGACUACAUGAAGCUGGAAUCGCUAGUAAUCGUAGAUCAGCAUGCUACGGUGAAUACGUUCCCGGGUCUUGUACACACCGCCCGUCACACCACGAGAGUUUGUAACACCCGAAGCCGGUGGAGUAACCUUUUAGGAGCUAGCCGUCGAAGGUGGGACAAAUGAUUGGGGUGAAGUCGUAACAAGGUAGCCGUAUCGGAAGGUGCGGCUGGAUCACCU
rnacentral:rRNA from 1 species